UGGGGAAUAUUGGGCAAUGGACGCAAGUCUGACCCAGCAACGCCGCGUGAAGGAAGAAGGCUUUCGGUUGUAAACUUCUUUUAAGGGGGAAGAGCAGAAGACGGUACCCCUUGAAUAAGCCACGGCUAACUACGUGCC
rnacentral:rRNA from 1 species